rfam:Picea glauca, whole genome shotgun sequence.
AGGUGCCAUCAUACCAGAAUUAAUGCACCAGAUCCCAUCAGAACUCCACAGUUAAGCGCAUUUGGGAUAGAGUAGUACUAGGAUGGGUGACCUACCGGGAAGUCCUAGUGUUGCACCCU